UACGAAGGGGGCUAGCGUUGCUCGGAAUUACUGGGCGUAAAGGGCGCGCAGGCGGCGCAUUUUGUCAGGCGUGAAAGCCCCGGGCUUAACCUGGGAACUGCGUUUGAUACGGAUGGGCUAGAGUUCGGGAGAGGAGAGUGGAAUUCCCAGUGUAGAGGUGAAAUUCGUAGAUAUUGGCUGGAACACCGGUGGCGAAAGCGGCUCUCUGGCCCGGUUCUGACGCUGAGGCGCGAAAGCGUGGGGAGCAAACAGG
rnacentral:rRNA from 1 species